rnacentral:misc_RNA from 1 species
UUUCCGUAGGUGAACCUGCGGAAGGAUCAUUAUUGUAUAACCGAGGUGCGAGGGCUGUCGCUGACCCGAAAGGUCGUGCACGCCCGAGUGCCCUCACACACAUCCAUCUCACCCAUAUGUGCACCACCGCGUGGGUCCCCCCUUGGCUUGUUCGGAGGGGGGCUUACGCUUUCACACAAACUUUGUAUGCAGUGUAGAAUGUAUUUUUUGUUUUUGCGAUCACGCAAUCAAUACAACUUUCAACAACGGAUCUCUUGGCUCUC